UAAAAAAGUAAAAAAAUUAAACACGGUUCCUUAAAAAAAAACUAUUUUUAGAUUGUUGAAGCACCAACAUUUUUGCAGCCAGUUCCGAUUAGCAAAAAAUGUGUAUUUUUCUUUGGUACCAAAAAUUUUGGGCUUGUCGAUUUGAACUUUAUUCAGAGCUAUUGCAAUCAUCGCGAAGAAUUCAUUGAAAAAGGAAAAGGUAUCACCUUCAAAAAUGCCGUGAAAGAGCUGGAAGAAUAUAUGUCAAAUCGCGUAAAAUUUCGAUCGAAUGCAUCAGUAAAGCCAUUGAAUAAUAAGGUUCGAAUCAAGACCGAGCGGGGAAAUGCAGUAGACAUCGAAAUAAAAAAUUAGUCCAACAAUUCGGACAGAAACACAUUUGCUAAGACUGAUAAAAUGCCAAGAAAUGAAAAAAAUGCACUCAUCCAGAAAAUUGCUGCCUUAC